rnacentral:rRNA from 1 species
AUUGAACGCUGGCGGCACGCCUAACACAUGCAAGUCGAGCGGCAGCGAGAGUAGUAGCAAUACUACUUGUCGGCGAGCGGCGGACGGGUGAGGAACACGUAGGAAUCUACCCAGAAGAGGGGGAUAACCAAGGGAAACUUUGGCAAAUACCGCAUAAUCUCGAGAGAGAAAAGCUGCCCGUAAGGGUGGCGCUUUUGGAGGAGCCUGCGUCCGAUUAGCUAGUUGGUAGGGUAAAGGCCUACCAAGGCGAUGAUCGGUAACUGGUCUGAGAGGACGACCAGUCACACUGGGACUGAGACACGGCCCAGACUCCUACGGGAGGCAGCAGUGGGGAAUAUUGGACAAUGGGGGCAACCCUGAUCCAGCGAUGCCGCGUGAGUGAAGAAGGCCUUCGGGUCGUAAAGCUCUUUAGGUUGGGAAGAAGGGUGCGAGGGUAAUAUCCUUGUACUUUGACGGUACCGACAGAAUAAGCACCGGCAAACUCUGUGCCAGCAGCCGCAGUAA